UACGUAGGUGGCAAGCGUUGUCCGGAUUUACUGGGCGUAAAGAGCGCGCAGGCGGUCGUUCAAGUCGCGUGUGAAAGCCCCCGGCUCAACUGGGGAGGGUCACGCGAUACUGAUCGACUCGAAGGCAGGAGAGGGUAGUGGAAUUCCCGGUGUAGUGGUGAAAUUCGUAGAUAUCAGGAGGAACACCGGUGGCGAAGGCGGCCAUCUGGACGACAACUGACGCUGAGAUGCGAAAGCGUGGGGAGCAAACAGG
rnacentral:rRNA from 1 species